rnacentral:tRNA from 2 species
GCGGGAUUAGUUUAGUGGUAAAAUGCGAGUUUUCCAAACUUGAGUCGGGGUUUCGAUUACCCCAUCCCGCACCA